CAUUCCAAAUCUAAUUAUGGAAGAAGUGAGCCUACAUUAGGUUUGUGAUGAAAUUGAAAUUCUGUGGACCAAAGUCAGAACAAGUGCUGUCAUAUUGAUUUUAGGGUUGUUUUAUUCUGGACACUACAAUGAUUAGAUGUUUCUUAGUUAAACGUGGAUGUUUAGCAUUUAUUCACAUGGAGACCAUGGGCCCAUGGGGCUAAGUAUGACUUAGGCAUGUUCGAGUCACUGUACAAGGAAUGUGUACCCAGUAGAUGAAAAAAAGAUGAAAGUGUAGGAUGGGAAUAGUAAUUCAGGUCUCAAGAAGCCAGGUCCACUGUUAAAUGGUGAACACAAAUUGUUAGGUAGCUCCAGUGCUAGAUGAGAGCAUUGAAUGAAGGACCCCCACAGCAGAUGGGUUGGGAAAAGCUGCAGGUGGCCUCAUUCAGCGAAGUAACGGUCUUGUUUGUCAGUGCUCGUUAAGCCCCAGUUUAACCAAUCUGAAUAUUAAGCUGAAGCUAGAUAUUAAGUUGGUUAUUAAGCUGCUAUUUACAACAGUAAUUGUUUGAAUUUUUAACCUAUAAAAGUUCCUUGUAAGUGAAGUUGAUGCUUUUGCUUUGUUAUCACUUCUGUGGUGGCUAAACAGCACGGCAUGGCCAGGUGAGGGACCUCCACGCUGGGGUGUUUCCUCUGUUCAUUUUCCUAACCACCAAGACACUACUCUGGGGAUUCCUGAGGGGAAAAAAUGCAUUUGGAGGCGCAUUAAGUGUAGGAGGGUUGAGGCUGCAGCUGCCAGCUCUGCCCCUGGGCUGCACAGCUGCCUCCCGCGGUGGGCCCCGCGGGUACGCGCUGUGGCAGCCGCAGCUGCUGGCAGAGGAGGGCGGCGGGGCGGCAGCGGGGCUGGCGGCCGCUCGUGAGGGGCAGGAAGGGCCAGAAGCGCCUCCGGGCUCCUCGGGCGAGCCGCAGGGGGGCGGUAACGCUCCCGAACUGCGUCGGGAACGGCGCCGGCCCUACCCAGGCCCGCAGGCGCCCCGGCGGGCCGCGUACUCACCACCUUCACCAGCUGGGACAUGGACACCUCGAACUGGAUGAUGACGGGGUCCGAGACGUUCUUCACGGGCCGGACGAACUGGUUGUAGUUCUUGAAGAGGGCCGCGUACAGCCGGUGUUCGGCAUCGGAGCCGCCGCAGCCUGCGGGGGCACGGCGCGGUCUAGGCCCCCAGGCCUGCGGGAGUAGCAGGGGUGCGGAGCUGAGGAAGGGGUGAGCAGAACCUCACAGAGCGGGCAGUGUGGGAGCUGCUGGAGGGCUUGCAAAAGAUUCCAGACAAAGGUAUACGCCUUUUCUACGUUUUGCUGCUGAUACUGCUGCUCAUGGUGCCUUGUGGCUGAUGGGAAAGCUGUAAGCUGGAAUCGUUGAACCACAGGCUCCUUCAGCUGUUUACAGUGAGCACCUUACAUUGAAGUGAACUUCUGUGAUACCUGUCAAGGUCUUGGUCAUCUCAUCAACAUCGAGGCAUACUUGGCUUUCUGAUCAGUUGAAAAAUGGAACUUCUGAUAUAUCAAGCCAUUUGCAUAACACUCCAGAGGAUUCACAAAGAGCUUCAGUACGCACCGCAAGGGGCUUGACCACGUGGGCACUGUAUUGCCAAGAGACUGAGCAGGGUCGCCUUUUUCAGCUGUAAAGGCCCAGGUCAUAGAAUCAUAGAAUAUCCUGAGUUGGAAGGGACCCAUAAGGAUCAUCAAGUCCAACUUCUGGUCAUAGGCAUGGACUAAGCCAGAAACUUGAAUGAGCCAGGCGGGUGAGUGGAUGGCACUGUGGGUCAAGAGUUGGUCAGUUGGUUUCGUUAGUCCGUUUUGCCUGGUGGGCAGGCUUGGCAAGCACCUUGUGACAGCAGUGUCCAUCUCCUGCUACGUUCCUGUGUCACGUCAGAUGUCAGCGGUUCCAGUUCCUGAAAUGCUGGAGAUGCUCAAAGUGCAAGAGGAGCAGGGAGUGUGACGCAUCUCUGGGAAGUUAGUCACAUGACCUUGCCUCGGCAUGGCAAAUGGAAGCGCCAAACCUGGAUCAGGAAGGGGAUGAAGAAGAAACUGUCAACAUCCUAGCUGGCCUCUGUGGUCCACGCUGAGGAUGGAUUCUGACCCUCUGAGAAGUGAAGAGGAGCCUUGUGUCUGAAGCAACAUCCUGGCUAGCCUUUGUGUUCCUUGUUGAGGAUGGAACCUGCCUCCCAGCAUUCCCAAGUGACUUCAAGUGACUGAAGCUAUGACUUAGAUGCUCCAAGCUCAGCUGUGCCUUCAUGUCAGCUUCUAUGGUGAUCAAGACAGGUUGGAUUGCAUCUUGGAGAAGCAGGAUCCUCUUGACUCACUGUCUUUCUGCCUGUGCCAAGGUUCCAGCUCUCUUUGCUGGAAGGACAGAUUUCAAGCCCACAAAUCAAUAAGAUGUCCAUAUGCUGCCAUGUGGAGUUGGGCAUGUGCAUGACUGUUUUUCUGGAUCAAGAUUAGAGUUCUCACCACUUGAAAAGAUUCAGUCUGUGGUUUGUGAAGCGCUGCCAGUUCCUCUGGAAUUAAAGAUUUAUAUAAAAUAUCAAUGUUUAAAAAAAAAAAAAAAAAA